AGACGGGAUCGGGACCUAACCCAGCCAAUACGAUGACAGGUAAAACCCGAACUGUAUGCACUAGUAUACAUGCCCCAGGUAUGGAAAAUGAAUAUCCGGAUAAGUCCGGGCAAGGAUUCAAGCACGGUACAAAAAAGCCGGAACCCAAAUUCGUGCCCCUUUUAUUAAUCAGUUAAAAAAUAUAAAUAUAAAAUUACAAACCCAAAAUCCAAAUUAAACUCUAAAUCCGUAUUACAUACCGAAACAAGCACGCCACUUCAGUGCAGACGCUCCUGUAGCUCUAAUGCUCCAAGCCAGUACCCACCACGGCACACCUCCACGAACCUCUCUCUGCGCGUCGGCAUCAUCGCUUCUCAUUUCUUAGCUGCUGGCCUUGGUGUGCGAAUUCUCUCUAUUCUCCAUCAUCAAUUCUUCACUGUCACAACUCACUUUCUUAGCCUACAGUCGCGUUCGUGCAGCCAUCUCUACUCCACCAUCACAACCACGAGGCAUUGACUUUUUUUCCAGCUUUAAAAAAAAAAUGAUGAAAUUAUUAUUAUUAGGUGUUAUGCAUUAUGUUUUUCUUGGAUGCUAUGCUUAGAUGUAGAGGUGGCAAAAAUACUCGCCUGGUCCGGAUCUGGACCGUACCCGGGUAUUGUGGGUCGGGUAUUAUUUAGUUCGGGUACGAAGCCGGGUCGAUCUUGGGUAUCACUUGAUAAACUCGGAACUUAGAUUUUAUUAAAAAAAUAUUAUAAAAUAUAUAUUAUUUUAAAUAUUUAUAUUUAUUUGACUCAUUUAUUAGACAUAUAUAAAGUUUUAAACACUUAAAGUUUAUAUUUUCAUGUCAAAUUUUAUUGAAAUAAAUUUAAAACUUAUAAAAUUACCAAAAAAUAAAAAAUAUAUACACAUAUAAUAUUAAAAAAUAUAAAAUUCAGGUACCCGGAUUAAAACCCGGCCCGGACUCGAAUCCGGACUGAUUGCAUCCGGGCAGGGUUUGGUCAUUGCAAUACCCGAACCCGGCCCGGGGUUUUGCCAUCCCUACUUAGAUGAUUAUUUUUUAUAAUAAUAAACAUAUGUAAUAGGAGCUGAAUUAGGCUACUUUUAACUAUUAAAUUAAUUUGUUACAUAAUUAUUAUAAUUACAUAGUUUAUUAUAUAAUAUUUGUUAUGUAAUAUUUUUGUUGGGGAGGAGGUAAUUUUAGAUGAUGAUGAUGAUGGGCCACAAUCAUUGAGCAGCAUGACAUAAAGUUGUGAUUUACUUAUUUUACAUGUAUUUUAGAAUCUUUUAUUAAUUAUUUUGCCAAUUGUUAGAUAUUUUGAGAUUUUCAUAUGUUAUAUUAGUAAUUGGUAUCAUGAUUAUAAAUUAUGAUAUGUUGGAUAUUAUCGUUAUUUAGAUUUAUUUGUGAUUAUUGUGUUGUUGAAUUUAAAUUUUUGAUUAAAAUUGAAUGAAUUUAGGUUAGAAAUUGAAUGCAUUUAGGUAAUAAAAAGUAGAUUGAAUUUUUUUUUUUAUUUACUAUUUGUGUAAAAUUUGCACUAUUACAAGUUUUUUUUGUUCAGUUUGAAUCAGGGAUGGCAAAAUCCGGGUCCGGUUCCGGGUUCGGCCUUCCCGGUUCCGGACCCGGAUGUCAUUUUCUUUUUACCGGACCCGCAUAUAACCCGGAUUUUUUACAUGCGGGUCCGGUCCGGGUUCAACCCGGAAAAAUUAAGGGUUCCGGAUUCCGGGUUUGAAACCCGGAUUGUCUUUUGAAUUAUGAUUAAAAAAUGAAAAAAAAAAUUGGAAACUACAAUUCAAUCACAAAUUAAAACCGAUUAACCUUUUUUUUCCGUGAAAUUCAGGCAGGUACACAAGAUAGAUCUUAAUAUGAAGGCGUUGCAAAUACUACCAACAAAAUUCAAUAAAUUAAUAACCUAAUAUAGGAAGUGGAUGCACGAAAAUUACAAUUAAUUUUGAAUUGUAAUGGCAUCAAAGACCGUGGCCCACCCAAAUCCACCAUGCAAUGCCAUCAAAGACAGCCCCCACCAUGGAAUAUGACAAACAAGAAGCACAGGCGGGCUUAGAGGUGGAAGCUAAUCCAGGCGAUUUUGCAACAGUUGAACAAUUGAGAAGGAAUGGUGGUCGCAGCAGUGCAGAGAAGAGGAACACAGCAACUGAUGAUGAUAAUGAACACAGAGAAGAGAAAAUGGCCGAAGUGAUGACGACGACGACUUGAUUUGAUGAAGAGAAAAGGAAAUAUGGUUGGCGGCCGGCGGAUGUGAGAUUUGAGAAGAGGAAUGCGAAUUGCAAAAUUAGGGCCGGCUGUGCGCAUUAUUAUUUCCUUCCUUUCUUUUCUAUUUAUAUUAAAAAUUAUUAAAAAUUUAAUAUUAAAAUGAAAGAUAUCCGGGUCCGGGUUUCGGAUAUGCGGGUUCACCUAAACCCUGACCCGGACCGGAUAUCAUCCGGGUUCAUAAAAUCAAAUCCGGAUCCGCAUUUUAUAUAACUGCAAUACGGGUUCAACCCGGACCGGAUUAUCCGGGUUCGUCCGGGUCCGAUCCGGGUCCGGGUUAUUCUGCCAUCCCUAGUUUGAAUAUGCGGGUAGGAGAACCCCGGCUUAAAAAUCCGUGUUUGG
rnacentral:lncRNA from 1 species